rnacentral:rRNA from 1 species
UCUGGCCAUACUACCCUGAACAUUCCUGAUCUUGUCUGAUCUCAGAAGCUAAGCAGGGUCAGGCCUGGUUAGUACUUAAGAUGGUUGAAUUGUAGUUCAUCUUCCACUACAUACCAAGAUCAAGGCCAGAC